rnacentral:hammerhead_ribozyme from 1 species
GUACUGCUGAAGAGUCCCAAACUAGGAUGAAACAUCAGCUGUCCAGUAC